rnacentral:rRNA from 1 species
AUGCAAGUCGAACGAUGAACCACUUCGGUGGGGAUUAGUGGCGAACGGGUGAGUAACACGUGGGCAAUCUGCCCUUCACUCUGGGACAAGCCCUGGAAACGGGGUCUAAUACCGGAUACAACACUCUCGGGCAUCCGAUGAGUGUGGAAAGCUCCGGCGGUGAAGGAUGAGCCCGCGGCCUAUCAGCUUGUUGGUGAGGUAACGGCUCACCAAGGCGACGACGGGUAGCCGGCCUGAGAGGGCGACCGGCCACACUGGGACUGAGACACGGCCCAGACUCCUACGGGAGGCAGCAGUGGGGAAUAUUGCACAAUGGGCGAAAGCCUGAUGCAGCGACGCCGCGUGAGGGAUGACGGCCUUCGGGUUGUAAACCUCUUUCAGCAGGGAAGAAGCGAAAGUGACGGUACCUGCAGAAGAAGCGCCGGCUAACUACGUGCCAGCAGCCGCGGUAAUACGUAGGGCGCGAGCGUUGUCCGGAAUUAUUGGGCGUAAAGAGCUCGUAGGCGGUCUGUCGCGUCGGAUGUGAAAGCCCGGGGCUUAACCCCGGGUCUGCAUUCGAUACGGGCAGACUAGAGUGUGGUAGGGGAGAUCGGAAUUCCUGGUGUAGCG